GCCAACACAUAACCCACAUCACUUAACUAAAAGGCUAUUGUGUUGUCUCACGACUUCUAUCAACUGGAGAAAGCAGGCAACGGUACACCGGACCUCACGUGAGAUAACAGUUCGCGCCUUAAUCAAAAACACAAAAACACAGCUAACAAAAAGGCUAACAAAAGUGGUGAACAGCGGCUUCCGGACCUUCUCCGAAGUGUUCUGUGUGUUAUCUCUCUCUCUUUUACCACUUAACACUUAACGGUGGCAAGUGUCGUCAAGGGGCAGACAGGCAAGUGUGCAGGAAAGCUGACACAAGCAACGCCAUUCCCCCUUGGCCCGUCCGAGUCGAGUCAGCACACUCCACCACACCGCCCCGCGCGCCCCGCCCCGCGCGCCCCGCCCCGACGCGCCCCGCGCGCCCACAUCGCCCACUGUCGGGAUCCCGCUUCCCAAUUCUGGGACGCCCACUUGUCUGCCUACGACACAGUCAUUCGUGGGUGGGCGCUCACCUUCGCCUUGGUGGAGAUCUUGGUGGAGCGUGGUCGCUCCUCCGCCCCUUCCUCACCGCUGCCAGCCGCUGCCGGGCACUGCCGGCGGUCUCUCUGGCCGCUCCAAGGACGCGGGGGCAGCCAGCCAAGGACGGGGACAGCCAGCCAAGGACGAGGGCGAGCCAGCCGAGGACGAAGGAGUGCCACGGGCACAAUCUUCACACUUUUUUUAUGGUCAGUCUGAUAAAGAGAUAGACAUUUUGGCCAAGGAGUUCCAGAAGUUGAUGCAGGAUUCGGAAGCGCCCGCCGAGGAUGACAAUUCCCGUGUCCUAAGGAGCGGGUCAACUCAUGACAGAGUUCCUCCUCCUCCUCCUCCUUCUUCUCUCCCGCAUGAUAACAAAGGAAAUGUUGUCCCUCACCUUCUACUUCCUUCUGCGCUCCGUUCUGGCUGCAGACCCUGCGCACCUCAAGCCGGGGGCCCUCUCUGCUCAUUUGGGCCGGGUUUCUCUGGUCGAGGAUGUCCUGUGGGUCCAGUACCCGUUUACUGCUCUGGUGGAAAUACCAGGCACACUGAGGACAAUAACGGAACAAGUGACUGGGGUUGUGUUGCAGAUGGAUAUCAAUGCUCCUGAAGACGGUCUCCUGCGUCUGAUGCAUGACCGCAUAAAGUACUUGAAUGAUACUCUAACCCUGGCUUUGGAGAACUACGCAGCUCUUUCGUUUCCUAACCGUACUA